UUAGUAGAGAUUAUGUAUAUAAUUUUCCCGAACUUAAAAGGGCUAAUUUAAUAUAUAUUUUAUUGUGGAAUAAAUAUUUACAAUAUUUAGUUAGUAAUGAAACGUUAUUCGUUUUUAAAUAUAUCUGGUUUUUUUAGAAAUAGAUUUAAUUUAGCUUAAUUUAUAUAAUUGGUUUAGUUUAUAAUUAGUUUUAUGUUUAGGGUAAUAUAUUAAGGGAUGAGCUUUAAUAUAAAAUAUGAUAAAUGGGUAAUGUUAUUAAAUUUAAUAGGAUUAGAAGUUUCCAUUUUUAGAAGGGUGUUAUAACUUAUUUUGUAGAAUAUUUAAUUUUUAUUUAUUUUUAGUUGUUUAUAAAAAUGUAAUUUUGAUUUUUAAUUGGUUAGUAAUAAUGGUAAAAUUAGUAUAUAUAUAUAUAUAUGAUUAAUGGGAGUUUGUUAGGUUAAUAAAAGGAAUUCGGCAAAUAAUUUUUCACCUGUUUAUUAAAAACAUGGCCUUUUGAUUAUAAUUUAAGGUUUAGCCUGCCCACUGAGGUUUUAAAUGGCCGCGGUACUCU
rnacentral:rRNA from 1 species